GAUGAAGAACGUAGCGAAAUGCGAUAAGUAGUGUGAAUUGCAGAAUUCAGUGAAUCAUCGAAUCUUUGAACGCACAUUGCGCCCCAUGGUAUUCCGUGGGGCAUGCCUGUUCGAGCGUCAUUUACCCCCUCAAGCUCCGCUUGGUGUUGGGCGUCUGUCCCGCUUCGCGCGCGGACUCGCCCCAAAGGUAUUGGCAGCGGUCGUGCCAGCUUCUCGCGCAGCACAUUGCGCUUCUCGAGGCACCGGUGGGCCCGCGUCCAUCAAGCUCACCCCCCCAGUUUGACCUCGGAUCAGGUAGGGAUACCCGCUGAACUUAAGCAUAUCAAUAAGCGGAGA
rnacentral:misc_RNA from 1 species